CGCUGAAGAUGUAUGCCCGGGGGCGGCACAUCUUGCAGAUGGCAAGGCCUGUGAGGCCGGCACCACUGCCAAGUUCUAGGACAGUCCUGGCGGGAGGAAAGGGGACCGUGUCUUCGACUGCACCAGGGUAAGCCUGCCUUGGUGCCCUGCCCUGUGCCCCGAGGUCACCUGUUAGUGAAGGCUGCUGGGUUCUCGAUGGCCCAUUCUGCAAGGCAGAGGGUGGCGUCCCAUGUGACCAGGCCUGUGGUACCGUGAGAGAUGAUGGCUGUGCUCUCGGAGAUUGUGACCGAGCCUCCCGAGGGCUGCACCAAGAGAGGGCGAGAGAGUCAGUCCAGCGAUCAGAAGGCAAGUGGCUUAGAAGACAAGUAGCCAUCCACCACAUGGCUGAAUAAACCAUGACAGGACCAAUCGCCACUCAGCAAUGAGAAGCAGCUAACUGUUGACAUACCAACAGCUUUCACGGGCCUCAAGAUUGUCACGUGGCAUGAAAGACACUCAUCUCAGGCCACACAGGAUUCCAUUCAUCGAACAUUCCUGAGACAACGGAAUUCUGGCGAUGGAGCACAGCAGGUCUGCUACUGCCUACUAAGGAACGGCUUCUCGACAUCCUCCUGUCAAACCCUGCAUGUUCAGGCCCAUCUUUAAAAUCCAUCCUAGGCCAGGUGCAGUGGCUCAUGCCUGUAAUCCCAGCACUUUGGGAGGCCGAGGCAGGCGGAUCACCUGAGGUCAGGAGUUCGAGACCAGCCUGGCCAACAUGGUGAAACUCUGUUUCUACUAAAAAUACAAAAAUUAGCCAGGCAUGGUGGCGUGUGCCUGUAGUCCCAGCUUCUUAGAAGGCUAGGCACGAGAAUUGCUUGAACCCAGGAGGCAGAGAUUUCAGGGAGCCGAGAUUGUGCCACGGUAAUCCAGCCUGGGCACCACAGUGAGACUGUCUCAAAAAAGUAAAUAAACAAGUAAAAAAUAAAAUCCAUCCUAUAGCAGUCAGGAAAGAGCUCAUUCCAGCAGGAUCAAUGAAGAGAAUUCACCAGAGGAACUAGUUCCAAAGGAUGCUUCACAGUCUACGGCAAAGGACAGAACGUUGGUUGCUCGAGAGCCCGUCUUAAGUCUCCUAUGAGCUUCAAGCCAACACAACAGAGGGCAAACUCCAGGCUACCUGAUCCCUCAGCAAAGAUGCAGAUGGACACAGCGUUCUGGCCCCACGCAUCUGAAGUUCGUCUUAAGAUAUAGGGUCUCUCUCUCUGCCACCCAGGCCAGAGUGCAGUUGACGCAGGGCAGGGGAGCCCCGAAGUGGAGCAUAGCGUGUCCGGAACUGGUGGGUUCUUGGUCUCACUGACUUCAAGAAUGAAGCCGCGGACCCUCGCGAAAUGAGGCUUCUCCCUGGGACCAGCAUUCCACGAAGGCAGCCCUUUUCUAGAUGGAGAAAACAGAACCUGAAGACACCCGUUUCCCUAAACUGCUCUUGCUCAUGUGCUUCCGAGGCGAUCGAUCAGGCAGUGUCGGUCUGCAGCUGCUAAGCCAAGAAGAUCUGGGAAGGAGUCAGUCAGGGAGCCUUGGGCUGGAGUCCCAGGGGCUCUGGGAGUGGCUGCCAGUUCUACAAGGCCUGGAGCUGAUACGAAAAACCUCCCUUCUUUCCCAAAUGCUCCCCAGCUUCCCCGUUCACUGAAGGCCCUGCAGUCAGGAACAGUCAGGACUUUGCACCCAGUUGUUGUGGGUGUUUGGCCGACUCUUCCUCUUGUGUGAUUCAUGGACCCUCAGCAUUGCAUCACCUAGGAGCUUUUGGAAUUGAAGACUCUCAGGGCUCACCCGGAAGGACCUCCUGGGCCAGAAUCUGCAUUUUAACAAGAUGCUCAGGAUCUGUAACCCAGGCUGGAGUGCAGUGGUGCGAUCCCGGCUCACUGCAGCCUCUACCUCCUGGGUUCAAGCG
rnacentral:lncRNA from 10 species